UCAAUGGACCACAAAGCCAUGCAUGGCAAGACAUUAACGUGACCCAAUGGACAGUAAAGCAUGUGCGUGUGCCAAGACAAGAUGACAAUUUUUCUUGUGCACUCUACAUGCUGAAGAACAUCGAAUUCUUUAUGGGAGAAGAUCUUAGACUGCAUUAUGACCAAGCAUACAUCGACAAUUAUAGAAGAGAGCUGCCUGUUGUCCUUCUUAAUUCGACCUACAACAAAUUGAAGUCCAUGAAAAGGCUGAAGAGUACAAUGCUAGCCUAUCGGAUGCAACUGCAAUUGAAGAUCAUGAAGAUGCAAGCAUUUAAUCCAGCAAUGGUCCAUUCUUAGAUAUGGAGUGUACAUUUGGUUAUGAAGCGGUA